rnacentral:rRNA from 1 species
UGCGAAGGGGGCUAGCGUUGCUCGGAAUCACUGGGCGUAAAGGGUGCGUCGGCGGGUCUUUAAGUCAGGGGUGAAAUCCUGGAGCUCAACUCCAGAACUGCCUUUGAUACUGAGGAUCUUGAGUUCGGGAGAGGUGAGUGGAACUGCGAGUGUAGAGGUGAAAUUCGUAGAUAUUCGCAAGUACACCAGUGGCGAAGGCGGCUCACUGGCCCGAUACUGACGCUGAGACGCGAAAGCGUGGGGAGCGAACAGG